rnacentral:rRNA from 1 species
AUGAACGUUGGCGGCGUGUCUAAGGCAUGCAAGUCGAGCGAAUCUUCUGUGAUUACAUCAAGGAAGAUUAGCGGCAAACGGGUGCGUAACACCUUGAUAACCUACCUCGAAGCCGUGAACAACUCUGGGAAACUAGAGCUAAUACACGAUGGGCAAGGGGGGCCGAAAGGCAUUCCCUUGUAAAGCUCCGGCGCUUCGAGAUGGGUCUAGGCCCUAUCAGCUAGUUGGUGAGGUAAUGGCCCACCAAGGCUACGACGGGUAGGGGGCGUGAGAGCGCGACCCCCCUCACUGGGACUGAGAUACUGCCCAGACACCUACGGGUGGCUGCAGUCAAGAAUAUUCCUCAAUGCACGAAAGUGUGAAGGAGCGACGCCGCGUGCCGGAUGAAGGCCUUUGGGUCGUAAACGGCUUUUCUUAGGGACGAACAAAUGACGGUACCUAAGGAAUAAGUGGUUGCUAACUCUGU